rnacentral:rRNA from 1 species
AUUGAACGCUGGCGGCAUGCUUUACACAUGCAAGUCGAACGGUAACAGGCCUUCGGGUGCUGACGAGUGGCGAACGGGGGAGUAAUGCAUCGGAACGUACCCAGAGGUUGGGGAUAACGCAGCGAAAGCUGUGCUAAUACCGCAUGUGAUCUGAGGAUGAAAGCGGGGGACCGAGCAGCAAUGUUUGGCCUCGCGCCUUUGGAGCGGCCGAUGUCGGAUUAGCUAGUUGGUGGGGUAAAGGCCUACCAAGGCGACGAUCCGUAGCUGGUCUGAGAGGACGACCAGCCACACUGGGACUGAGACACGGCCCAGACUCCUACGGGAGGCAGCAGUGGGGAAUUUUGGACAAUGGGCGCAAGCCUGAUCCAGCAAUGCCGCGUGCGGGAAGAAGGCCUUCGGGUUGUAAACCGCUUUUGGCAGGAACGAAACGGUGCCCGCUAAUACCGGGCGCUAAUGACGGUACCUGCAGAAUAAGCACCGGCUAACUACGUG